GAUGAACGCUGGCGGCGUGCCUAAUACAUGCAAGUCGAGCGAACGGACGAGAAGCUUGCUUCUCUGAUGUUAGCGGCGGACGGGUGAGUAACACGUGGAUAACCUACCUAUAAGACUGGGAUAACUUCGGGAAACCGGAGCUAAUACCGGAUAAUAUUUUGAACCGCAUGGUUCAAAAGUGAAAGACGGUCUUGCUGUCACUUAUAGAUGGAUCCGCGCUGCAUUAGCUAGUUGGUAAGGUAACGGCUUACCAAGGCAACGAUGCAUAGCCGACCUGAGAGGGUGAUCGGCCACACUGGAACUGAGACACGGUCCAGACUCCUACGGGAGGCAGCAGUAGGGAAUCUUCCGCAAUGGGCGAAAGCCUUACGGAGCAACGCCGCGUGAGUGAUGAAGGUCUUCGGAUCGUAAAACUCUGUUAUUAGGGAAGAACAGAUGUGUAAGUAACUGUGCACAUCUUGACGGUACCUAAUCAGAAAGCCACGGCUAACUACGUG
rnacentral:rRNA from 1 species